GAUGAACGCUGGCGGCGUGCUUAACACAUGCAAGUCGAGCGAGAAGUUUUGAAAAGAUUCUUCGGAUGAAAUUUAAAAUGGAAAGCGGCGGACGGGUGAGUAACGCGUAGGCAACCUGCCCCAUACAAAGGGAUAGCAUUUGGAAACGAAUAUUAAUACCUUAUGAAACUUAACUAGUGCAUGCUAGGUAGGUCAAAGAUUUAUCGGUAUGGGAUGGGCCUGCGUCUGAUUAGCUAGUUGGUGAGGUAACGGCUCACCAAGGCGACGAUCAGUAGCCGACCUGAGAGGGUGAACGGCCACAUUGGAACUGAGACACGGUCCGAACUCCUACGGGAGGCAGCAGUGGGGAAUAUUGCACAAUGGGGGAAACCCUGAUGCAGCAACGCCGCGUGAACGAUGAAGGCCUUUGGGUCGUAAAGUUCUGUUCUAGGUGAUGAAAACUGACAGUAAC
rnacentral:rRNA from 1 species